AGCCUGGUCCUCAGGCUGUACCCCACCGCUGGAGGGCUGUGCUUCCCUGGCCCUCCGGGGCCUCCUUCCCAGCUCAAACCAUGGUGCCCCACCCUGGCAGCAGCACUAUAGCAGCUGUGGGGUAGCCUGCUGAGCAGGGGCCCCAGGCUCUGGGGAAGGGGGAUCUGUGGGUUCCUGGUUCAGGCUCCCCCCGCCCCCCCCCCCCCCCCGCAUGCGACUGAGCCUGGUUAAUUUCUCUCCCCUCUGAGGCCUGGUGAGCUCUUCAUCUGAGCGCAGACGCAAGGCUCUUUAAUCUAAAAUCCCCUGUAGCUUCUCACUGCCUUCACUUUUGAUCCUAUAAGCAAAACCAGCCUGGAUCUGCUCUCCAGGCCCCUUGCAAGCUGGUGGCAGCUCCCCCUGCUUGGGGGGGGGGGCUUGUAGGGGUCACUUCCCGCUCCUGCUGGCCCCUGACCCAGCUUCUCAGAUGGCUGCGUGAUCAGACCCCGAAGACAGCGCUUCUCCCUGGUCUGCAAGCCGGCUGUCCUCAGCGCGGGCUGGAGCAAAACCCUCGCCUUGUGCCAUUGGAUUGUUGUGGCUUUGACUCAAGGAAGGUCCCAGCCGCCCACCGUGGGGAGCAAGACCCCAGGCCUGUCUCUCUCGGGUUUGCAGCAGCCUUCUCCAGCCCUCCCCAGAGCAGAGGAGCCCUGGCCGGCCUCUGCCUGAGCCCCUCUGUGGUUUCCCUGGGGUGUAUUGUUACCCAGUGGGCUAUUUGCUCUGAUGUGGCCUCAGACCUGAGAUCAAUGGAGCCUCUGUGAAGACUGUGGCAAAGCCAGUCACCAGGAUGUGGACACCUACCAGCUGAUGCCCCAGGGAGCUGGAUUUCCCUGCGUCUGCUUAGGGAGCUGAGCGUGGAUCCCUCGCUCGAGUGCAAAGGACGGAGGGGAUGAGCUGGCUGCUUGGAAGGAGUCAGUGUCUCACCUGGGUUUGGCCAGGCAGAGAUGGAGCCAGAACAUGGGUUUACUGCAGCUUAGUCGGGCUCUGGGCUGAGCAGGAAGGUCUGUGCUUUCACUGUUCUCUGUGCCACCCGGGGGUUUCCUGGGCAACACCAGGUGACUA